rnacentral:rRNA from 1 species
CCUACGGGAGGCAGCAGUGAGGAAUAUUGGUCAAUGGACGAGAGUCUGAACCAGCCAAGUCGCGUGAAGGAUGACUGCCCUAUGGGUUGUAAACUUCUUUUAUAUGGGAAUAAAACGUUCCACGUGUGGGAUUUUGUAUGUACCAUAUGAAUAAGGAUCGGCUAACUCCGUGCCAGCAGCCGCGGUAAUACGGAGGAUCCGAGCGUUAUCCGGAUUUAUUGGGUUUAAAGGGAGCGUAGGUGGAUUGUUAAGUCAGUUGUGAAAGUUUGCGGCUCAACCGUAAAAUUGCAGUUGAAACUGGCAGUCUUGAGUACAGUAGAGGUGGGCGGAAUGCGUGGUGUAGCGGUGAAAUGCUUAGAGAUCACGAAGAACUCCGAUUGCGAAGGCAGUUCACUGGACUGCAACUGACACUGAGGCUCGAAAGUGUGGGUAUCAAACAGGAUUAGAUACCCUAGCAGUC